rnacentral:rRNA from 1 species
UACGGAGGGGGCUAGCGUUGUUCGGAAUUACUGGGCGUAAAGCGUGCGUAGACGGUUAUGUAAGUCGGGUGUGAAAGCCCCGGGCUCAACCUGGAAUGCCAUUCGAGACUGCAUAGCUAGGGUGCGGAAGAGGGAAGCGGAAUUUCCGGUGUGAGCGGUGAAAUGCGUAGAUAUCGGAAGGAACACCAGUGGCGAAAAGCGGCUUCCUGGUCCCGCACC